rnacentral:pre_miRNA from 1 species
CUUUGCUUUCAGCCUCUUUACAGUGCUGCCUUGUGUACUUGUUGUCAAGCAGCAUUGUACAGGGCUAUGAGAGCCUAG